GUCACGUUUCCACAUAAGGAUAAAAAAAAUUUAUCGUUAGAGAAAUGGAAUUCAAGGAUAUCUAUGUUGUAUUUUAAAGUUAAACAUUUAAGUGGAUCUGUAAAUCUAUUUACAACAAUUUCAGGGAAAUGGCCCUAAACUCUGAGGAAAGAAGGCAACGAUCCAGUCCAAAUUCCAGUCAAACAAGUGGUUUAUCAUUUGAGAACCCAAGUAGUUCUAUAUCAUCUAACGCAAGUCAACAAGAAGAUGUAAGCAAUGAAAACCAAACAAGAUUGCAGAAGGAAUUUCAACGGGCAAGUACAU